AGCGACGGCGGUGGCGUCCCAAGAUGGCGUCGUGGCUGCCGGAGACUCUCUUUGAAACUGUAGGACAAGGCCCGCCGCCUAGCAAAGACUAUUACCAGUUACUGGUCACCCGGUCUCAGGUAAUCUUUAGAUGGUGGAAGAUCUCUCUAAGGAGUGAGUAUCGAUCAACAAAACCUGGAGAAGCAAAAGAAACCCAUGAAGACUUCCUAGAGAAUUCACAUCUUCAAGGUAAGGAAGGGAACAUAUUAUAUACCCCUGUUAAGUUCUCAUUAGUUAGUGGUAGAUUUUGUUAAAGAAGUUUCAAAUAUAUUUUCACUUGAAAUAUUGAUAUGUAGUUAUGUACUUACAUAUACAAUGUUAGAUUCUUAAAAACCAGAAAACUGUUGUUUUUUUCUCUUGGAAAACAUAUUAGCGUUUGGCCGGGCGUGGUCGCUCACGCCUGUAAUCCCAACACUUUGGGAGGCCGAGGGGGGUGGAUCAUGAGGUCAGGAGUUCGAGACCAGCCUGGCCAAGAUGGUGAAACCCUGUCUCUACUAAAAAUACAAAAAUUAGCUGGGCAUGUUGGCACAUGCCUGUUAUCCUAGCUACUCAGGAGACUGAGGCAGGAGAAUCACUUGAACCCAGGAGGCAGAGGUUGCAGUGAGCUGAGAUCAGACCAUUGCACUCCAGCCUGGGCAACAAGAACAAAAUUCUGUCUUAAAAAAAAAAAAGAUCCUAGGUUAACAUGUGGACUCCAUUAAUGAAGUUAAAAUCAAGUAAAUAUAGUUUUAUGCUAUAAUAUUUAUGAAUUGGGCAGUGGCAAAAAACCAAGUGGUUUGGGCUUUACUGGGAAGGGCUUGAGGGAAAACUUUUAUAUGGUGUUUUCUGAAGGAAGACAAAAUAUUUGAUUGGUUAGAGUGGAAAUUCCCUGGUUAGAGGUUAGUUGGCAGUUUCUGACUGGUAAAGUCUCUGGUUAGAGGUUAGUUGGCGGUUUCUGACUGGGUAAAGAGAAAUUUCCUUUUCCUAUGCUACAACCAUCUAUAUUUUUAAAACAUUUUUUUUAUUAAAAAAAAA
rnacentral:sRNA from 1 species